AUUGAACGCUGGCGGCAGGCUUAACACAUGCAAGUCGAGCGGGGUGAGGUGCUUCGGUACUGAUCCUAGCGGCGGACGGGUGAGUAAUGCUUAGGAAUCUGCCAUUUAGUGGGGGACAACAUUCCGAAAGGGAUGCUAAUACCGCAUACGUCCUACGGGAGAAAGCAGGGGAUCUUAGGACCUUGCGCUAAAUGAUGAGCCUAAGUCGGAUUAGCUAGUUGGUGGGGUAAAAGCCUACCAAGGCGACGAUCUGUAGCGGGUCUGAGAGGAUGAUCCGCCACACUGGGACUGAGACACGGCCCAGACUCCUACGGGAGGCAGCAGUGGGGAAUAUUGGACAAUGGGCGGAAGCCUGAUCCAGCCAUGCCGCGUGUGUGAAGAAGGCCUUUUGGUUGUAAAGCACUUUAAGCGAGGAGGAGGCUACCUAGAUUAAUACUCUGGGAUAGUGGACGUUACUCGCAGAAUAAGCACCGGCUAACUCUGUGCCAGCAGCCGCCGUAACAC
rnacentral:rRNA from 1 species